rnacentral:misc_RNA from 1 species
UUGUAGGAUUUCAAUGGUCACGAUUUUUCCUAGCUCUCCAGCGACUUCUUUCUCCUGAUGGCAUACUGUACUCUGAAAACUUGAGCCGCUAUAAAAUUGAGAAGCUGAAAGAUUCUUAGCUUAAUACAUGAGAGAACAGCACAUAAUCUUAACGUGUUACGACAGGAAUCAAAAUUUGUAGACCUAGGAUCUGAGCUGCAAAAUCAGCAGACACACCAUUCCCAUACUUCAGAUAUCAAAUUAUCGUCAGCAUCAAAGAGGGUGCAUGAAGUAACAAUCUGCCCUGAAGCUGUAAUGUGUUUUUCUUCACAGCUGUGAACCCCUACCAUAUCAAUUCUUGUAAUUGUAUAUUGCUCUAAUCAUCAAAGAUGUUUUCCCACGUGGGAAUAAUUUGAAGGAGCAGCAGCUUU